UGUGCUGUUAGACAAUCUUCUGGGACUU
rnacentral:piRNA from 1 species